GGCAGACGGGUGAGUAACAUGUAGGUAUCUUCCCAUUGGUGAGGAAUAACACGAGGAAACUUGUGCUAAUACCUCAUAAGUCUUUACGGAGAAGGCUUUAUGCGCCGAUGGAUGAGCCUGCACUUGAUUAGUUUGUUGGUAGGGUAAUGGCCUACCAAGACAAUGAUCAAUAGCUGAUGUGAGAGGAUGAUCAGCCACAUUGGGACUGAGACACGGCCCAAACUCCUACGGGAGGCAGCAGUAGGGAAUCUUGCACAAUGGGGGAAACCCUGAUGCAGCGAUGCCGCGUGAGUGAAGAAGGCCUUUGGGUUGUAAAGCUCUUUCGUCGGGGAAGAAAAUGACUGUACCCGAAUAAGAAGGUCCGGCUAACUUCGUGCCAGCAGCCGCGGUAAUACGAAGGGACCUGGCGUAGUUCGGAAUUACUGGGCUUAAAGAGUUCGUAGGUGGUUAAAAAAGUUGGUGGUGAAAUCCCAGAGCUUAACUAUGGAACUGCCAUCAAAACUUUUUAGCUAGAGUAUGAUAGAGGAAAGCAGAAUUUCUAGUGUAGAGGUGAAAUUCGUAGAUAUUAGAAAGAAUACCAAUUGCGAAGGCAGCUUUCUGGAUCAUUACUGACACUGAGGAACGAAAGCAUGGGUAGCGAAGAGGAUUAGAUACCCUCGUAGUCCAUGCCGUAAACGAUGUGUGUUAGACGUUGGAAAUUUAUUUUCUGUGUCGCAGCGAAAGCAAUAAACACAC
rnacentral:rRNA from 1 species